rnacentral:rRNA from 1 species
GAGUUUGAUCUUGGCUCAGAUUGAACGCUGGCGGCAUGCCUUACACAUGCAAGUCGAACGGCAGCAUGAUCUAGCUUGCUAGAUUGAUGGCGAGUGGCGAACGGGUGAGUAAUACAUCGGAACGUGCCCUGUAGUGGGGAUAACUAGUCGAAAGAUUAGCUAAUACCGCAUACGACCUGAGGGUGAAAGUGGGGGACCGCAAGGCCUCAUGCUAUAGGAGCGGCCGAUGUCUGAUUAGCUAGUUGGUGGGGUAAAGGCCCGCCAAGGCGACGAUCAGUAGCUGGUCUGAGAGGACGAUCAGCCACACUGGGACUGAGACACGGCCCAGACUCCUACGGGAGGCAGCAGUGGGGAAUUUUGGACAAUGGGCGAAAGCCUGAUCCAGCGAUGCCGCGUGUGUGAAGAAGGCCU